rnacentral:rRNA from 1 species
GGCGGACGGGUGAGUAACACGUGGGUAACCUGCCCAUAAGACUGGGAUAACUCCGGGAAACCGGCGCUAAUACCGGAUAACAUUUUGAACCGAAUGGUUCGUAAUUGAAAGGCGGCUUCGGCUGUCACUUAUGGAUCGACCCGCGUCGCAUUAGUUAGUAGGUGAGGUUACGGCUCACCAAGGCAACGAUGCGUAGCCGACCUGAGAGGGUGAUCGGCCACACUGGGACUGAGACACGGCCCAGACUCCUACGGGAGGCAGCAGUAGGGAAUCUUCCGCAAUCGACGAAAGUCUGACGGAUCAAAGCCGCGUGAGUGAUGAAGGCUCUCGGGUCGUAAAACUCUGUUGUUAGGGAAGAACAAGUGCUAGUUGAAUAAGAUGGCACCUUGACGGUACCUAACCAGAAAGCCACGGCUAACUACGUGCCAGCAGCCGCGGUAAUACGUAGGUGGCAAGCGUUAUCCGGAAUUAUUGGGCGUAAACCGCGCGCAGGUGGUUUCUUAAGUCUGAUGUGAAAGCCCAUGGCUCAACCGUGGAGGGUCAUUGGAAACUGGGAGACUUGAGUGCAGAAGAGGAAAGUGGAAUUCCAUGUGUAGCGGUGUAAUGCGAAGAGAUAUGGAGGAACUCCAGUGGCGAAGGCGACUUU